UACGUAGGUGGCAAGCGUUGUCCGGAUUUACUGGGCGUAAAGAGCGCGCAGGCGGUCGUUCAAGUCGAGUGUGAAAGCCCCCGGCUCAACUGGGGAGGGUCAUUCGAUACUGAUCGACUCGAAGGCAGGAGAGGGAAGUGGAAUUCCCGGUGUAGUGGUGAAAUGCGUAGAUAUCGGGAGGAACACCAGUGGCGAAGGCGGGUCUCUGGACAGUUCCUGACGCUGAGGCACGAAGGCCAGGGGAGCAAACGGG
rnacentral:rRNA from 1 species